AUAACCUUUAAUUUAGUCCUGUGAGGCUACUAAGGUGUCGGAUGAUAUACUGGAGUGAUAAGUCUGACCUUCAUGCCCACAGGCAUGAGGGUUUUUUCAU
rfam:Clostridia bacterium BRH_c25 BRHa_1002731, whole genome shotgun sequence.